rnacentral:RNase_P_RNA from 2 species
CAGGUCGGCCGGAUGGACGCGGGCAAAUUGGUGCCCGAGGAAAGUCCGCACACCAUAGGGCAGCAUGCCGGGUAACCCCCGGAAGGGUGCAAACUCUUGGACCAGGGCCACAGAAAGCAUACCGCUCACCUACAAAGGUGAGUAAGGGUGAAAAGGUGGUGUAAGAGACCACCGGCGGGUGCAGUAAUGCAUUCGGACAGGCAACCCCCAUGCGGUGCAAGGUCAAGCAGGAGAGAAGUCCUUUGGACGGGAGCGGCCCGUUUCCCAAUCAUCUCCGGGUAGACUGCUGGAGCUGACGGGUAACCGUCAGCCAAGAUAGAUGUCCAUCCAGGCGGUAUCUCCGCCAGACAGAAUGCGGCUUACAGGCUGACCUGGAUA